rnacentral:lncRNA from 1 species
GCCCUGGUCUACAUGAAUAAACAAUCAGACAGAUAAUUGUAUGUGCCCUGGUCUACAUGAAUUAAACAAUCAGACAGAUAAUUGUAUGUGCCCAGGUCUACAUGAAUAAACAAUCAGACAGAUAAUUGUAUGUGCCCUGGUCUACAUGAAUUAACAAUCAGACAGAUAAUUGUAUGUGCCCUGGUCUACAUGAAUAAACAAUCAGACAGAUAAUUGUAUGUGCCCUGGUCUACAUGAAUUAACAAUCAGACAGAUAAUUGUAUGUGCCCAGGUCUACAUGAAUAAACAAUCAGACAGAUAAUUGUAUGUGCCCUGGUCUACAUGAAUUAACAAUCAGACAGAUAAUUGUAUGUGCCCUGGUCUAUAUGAAUAAACAAUCAGACAGAUAAUGGUAUGUGCCCUGGUCUACAUGAAUAAACAAUCAGACAGAUAAUGGUAUGUGCCCUGGUCUACAUGAAUAAACAAUCAGACAGAUAAUUGUAUGUGCCCAGGUCUACAUGAAUAAACAAUCAGACAGAUAAUUGUAUGUGCCUAGGUCUACAUGAAUUAACAAUCAGACAGAUAAUUGUAUGUGCCCUGGUCUACAUGAAUAAACAAUCAGACAGAUAAUUGUAUGUGCCCUGGUCUACAUGAAUAAACAAUCAGACAGAUAAUGGUAUGUGCCCUGGUCUAUAUGAAUAAACAAUCAGACAGAUAAUGGUAUGUGCCCUGGUCUACACGAAUUAACAAUCAGACAGAUAGCAUGAAGCUUUUCCAAAUUCAAAAUGGCUAAGGACUGUGAAGAAGUCAAUACUGUAAAUUCAGAAAUUAUUGUGAGGUUUUUAUUAUGGCGAAAAAUG